rnacentral:misc_RNA from 1 species
UCCGGUUUGUCACCGGCAGUCUCAUUAGAGUGCCCUUUCGUAGCAACUAAUGACAAGGGUUGCGCUCGUUGCGGGACUUAACCCAACAUCUCACGACACGAGCUGACGACAGCCAUGCAGCACCUCUAUGGCGGCCCCCGAAGGGGAAGCCCUAUUUCUAGGACGGUCCGCCACAGUUCAAGCCCAGGUAAGGUUCUUCGCGUUGCAUCGAAUUAAGCCGCAUGCUCCGCCGCUUGUGCGGGGACCCGUCAAUUCCUUUGAGUUUUAGCCUUGCGGCCGUACUCCCCAGGCGGGAUACUUAAUGCGCUAGCUUCGGCACGGCAGUCGUUGAUAAACCGCCACACCUAGUAUCCAACGUUUACGGCGUGGACUAC